rnacentral:rRNA from 1 species
GAUGAACGCUGGCGGCGUGCCUAAUACAUGCAAGUCGAGCGAACAGAUAAGGAGCUUGCUCCUUUGACGUUAGCGGCGGACGGGUGAGUAACACGUGGGUAACCUACCUAUAAGACUGGAAUAACUCCGGGAAACCGGGGCUAAUGCCGGAUAACAUUUAGAACCGCAUGGUUCUAAAGUGAAAGAUGGUUUUGCUAUCACUUAUAGAUGGACCCGCGCCGUAUUAGCUAGUUGGUAAGGUGACGGCUUACCAAGGCAACGAUACGUAGCCGACCUGAGAGGGUGAUCGGCCACACUGGAACUGAGACACGGUCCAGACUCCUACGGGAGGCAGCAGUAGGGAAUCUUCCGCAAUGGGCGAAAGCCUGACGGAGCAACGCCGCGUGAGUGAUGAAGGUCUUCGGAUCGUAAAACUCUGUUAUUAGGGAAGAACAAAUGUGUAAGUAACUGUGCACGUCUUGACGGUACCUAAUCAGAAAGCCACGGCUAACUACGUG